rnacentral:rRNA from 1 species
UGGGGAAUCUUGCACAAUGGAGGAAACUCUGAUGCAGCGACGCCGCGUGAACGAUGAAGCCCUUCGGGGUGUAAAGUUCUUUCGACAGGGACGAUAAUGACGGUACCUGAAGAAGAAGCUGCGGCUAACUACGUGCCAGCAGCCGCGGUAAUACGUAGGCAGCGAGCGUUGUUCGGAAUUACUGGGCGUAAAGAGUGCGUAGGUGGUUGACUAAGUUUGGUGUGAAAUCUCCCGGCUUAACUGGGAGGGUGCGCCGAAAACUGGUUAGCUAGAGUGUGGGAGAGGGACGUGGAAUUCCUGGUGUAGCGGUGAAAUGCGUAGAUAUCAGGAGGAACACCUGAGGUGUAGACGGCGUCCUGGACCAUUACUGACACUGAGGCACGAAAGCGUGGGUAGCAAACAGG